rnacentral:rRNA from 1 species
UACGUAGGGUGCAAGCGUUAAUCGGAAUUACUGGGCGUAAAGCGUGCGCAGGCGGUUAUGUAAGACAGAUGUGAAAUGCCCGGGCUUAACCUGGGAACUGCAUUUGUGACUGCAUGGCUAGAGUUUGGCAGAGGGGGGUAGAAUUCCACGUGUAGCAGUGAAAUGCGUAGAUAUGUGGAGGAACACCGAUGGCGAAGGCAGCCCCC